rnacentral:rRNA from 1 species
UACGUAGGGCGCAAGCGUUGUCCGGAAUUAUUGGGCGUAAAGAGCUCGUAGGCGGCCUGUUGCGUCCGCUGUGAAAUCCCGGGGCUCAACCCCGGGCCUGCAGUGGAUACGGGCUGGCUAGAGGCAGGCAGGGGAGAACGGAAUUCCUGGUGUAGCGGUGAAAUGCGCAGAUAUCAGGAGGAACACCGGUGGCGAAGGCGGUUCUCUGGGCCUGUACUGACGCUGAGGAGCGAAAGCGUGGGUAGCGAACAGG